AGAACGAACGCUGGCGGCAUGCCUAAUACAUGCAAGUCGAACGAACUCUUCGGAGUUAGUGGCGCACGGGUGCGUAACGCGUGGGAAUCUGCCCUUGGGUUCGGAAUAACAGUUGGAAACGACUGCUAAUACCGGAUGAUGACGAAAGUCCAAAGAUUUAUCGCCCAGGGAUGAGCCCGCGUAGGAUUAGCUAGUUGGUGAGGUAAAGGCUCACCAAGGCGACGAUCCUUAGCUGGUCUGAGAGGAUGAUCAGCCACACUGGGACUGAGACACGGCCCAGACUCCUACGGGAGGCAGCAGUAGGGAAUAUUGGACAAUGGGCGAAAGCCUGAUCCAGCAAUGCCGCGUGAGUGAUGAAGGCCUUAGGUUGUAAAGCUCUUUUACCCGAGAUGAUAAUGACAGUAUCGGAGAAUAAGCCCGGCUAACGUCCGUGCCAGCAGCCGCGGU
rnacentral:rRNA from 1 species